CCUACGGGCGGCAGCAGUGAGGAAUAUUGGUCAAUGGACGAGAGUCUGAACCAGCCAAGUAGCGUGAAGGAUGACUGCCCUCUGGGUUGUAAACUUCUUUUAUAUGGGAAUAAAAUGUUCCACGUGUGGGAUUUUGUAUGUACAAUAUGAAUAAGGAUCGGCUAACUCCGUGCCAGCAGCAGCGGUAAUACGGAGGAUCCGAGCGUUAAGCGGAUUUAUUGGGUUUAAAGGGAGCGUAGGUGGGUUGUUAAGUCAGUUGUGAAAGUUUGCGGCUCAACCGUAAAAUUGCAGUUGAAACUGGCAGUCUAGAGUACAGUAGAGGUAGGCGGAAUUCGUGGUGUAGCGGUGAAAUGCUUAGAGAUCACGAAGAACUCCGAUUGCGAAGGCAGUUCACUGGACUGCAACUGACACUGAGGCUCGAAAGUGUGGGUAUCAAACAGGAUUAGAUACCCCAGUAGUC
rnacentral:rRNA from 1 species